GCCUGGAUGGCUCAGUCGGUUGGGCGUCUGACUUCAGCUCAGGUCAUAAUCUCACAGUUUGCGAGUUCAAACCCCAUGUCAGGCU
rnacentral:tRNA from 1 species